rnacentral:rRNA from 1 species
ACUGGGACUGAGACACGGCCCAGACUCCUACGGGAGGCAGCAGUGGGGAAUAUUGCACAAUGGGCGGAAGCCUGAUGCAGCGACGCCGCGUGAGGGAUGACGGCCUUCGGGUUGUAAACCUCUUUCAGCAGGGAAGAAGCCACAAGUGACGGUACCUGCAGAAGAAGCGCCGGCUAACUACGUGCCAGCAGCCGCGGUAAUACGUAGGGCGCAAGCGUUGUCCGGAAUUAUUGGGCGUAAAGAGCUCGUAGGCGGUUUGUCGCGUCUGCUGUGAAAGCCCGGGGCUCAACCCCGGGUCUGCAGUGGGUACGGGCAGACUAGAGUGCAGUAGGGGAGACUGGAAUUCCUGGUGUAGCGGUGAAAUGCGCAGAUAUCAGGAGGAACACCGAUGGCGAAGGCAGGUCUCUGGGCUGUUACUGACGCUGAGGAGCGAAAGCAUGGGGAGCGAACAGGAUUAGAUACCCUGGUAGUCCAUGCCGUAAACGUUGGGCACUAGGUGUGGGGGACAUUCCACGUUCUCCGCGCCGUAGCUAACGCAUUAAGUGCCCCGCCUGGGGAGUACGGCCGCAAGGCUAAAACUCAAAGGAAUUGACGGGGGCCCGCACAAGCGGCGGAGCAUGCGGAUUAAUUCGAUGCAACGCGAAGAACCUUACCAAGGCUUGACAUUCACCGGACUACCCCAGAGAUGGGGUUUCCCUUCGGGGUCGGUGGACAGGUGGUGCAUGGUUGUCGUCAGCUCGUGUCGUGAGAUGUUGGGUUAAGUCCCGCAACGAGCGCAACCCUCGUUCUAUGUUGCCAGCACGUGAUGGUGGGGACUCAUAGGAGACUGCCGGGGUCAACUCGGAGGAAGGUGGGGAUGACGUCAAAUCAUCAUGCCCCUUAUGUCUUGGGCUUCACGCAUGCUACAAUGGCCGGUACAAAGGGUUGCGAUACUGUGAGGUGGAGCUAAUCCCAAAAAGCCGGUCUCAGUUCGGAUUGAGGUCUGCAACUCGACCUCAUGAAGUCGGAGUCGCUAGUAAUCGCAGAUCAGCAACGCUGCGGUGAAUACGUUCCCGGGCCUUGUACACACCGCCCGUCAAGUCACGAAAGUUGGUAACACCCGAAGCCGGUGGCCUAACCCCUUGUGGGAGGGAGCCGUCGAAGGUGGGACUGGCGAUUGGGACUAAGUCGUAACAAGGUAGCCGUACCGGAAGGUGCGGCUG